rnacentral:ncRNA from 2 species
UACGAACUGUGCGAACGUUAUUCGGAAUCACUGGGCUUACAGGGUGCGUAGGCGGUCGAUGAAGUAGGGUGUGAAAGGCUCUGGCUCAACCAGAGCAUAGCGCUCUAAACUGAUUGACUGGAGCGAGCUAGGGGUAUACGGAACUUCCGGUGGAGCGGUGAAAUGUGUUGAUAUCGGAAGGAACGCCGGUGGCGAAAGCGGUAUACUGGGGCUUGUCUGACGCUGAGGCACGAAAGCCAGGGGAGCGAACGGG